ACUCCUACGGGAGGCAGCAGUAGGGAAUCUUCCACAAUGGGCGCAAGCCUGAUGGAGCAACACCGCGUGAGUGAAGAAGGGUUUCGGCUCGUAAAGCUCUGUUGUUAAAGAAGAACACGUAUGAGAGUAACUGUUCAUACGUUGACGGUAUUUAACCAGAAAGUCACGGCUAACUACGUGCCAGCAGCCGCGGUAAUACGUAGGUGGCAAGCGUUAUCCGGAUUUAUUGGGCGUAAAGAGAGUGCAGGCGGUUUUCUAAGUCUGAUGUGAAAGCCUUCGGCUUAACCGGAGAAGUGCAUCGGAAACUGGAUAACUUGAGUGCAGAAGAGGGUAGUGGAACUCCAUGUGUAGCGGUGGAAUGCGUAGAUAUAUGGAAGAACACCAGUGGCGAAGGCGGCUACCUGGUCUGCAACUGACGCUGAGACUCGAAAGCAUGGGUAGCGAA
rnacentral:rRNA from 1 species